UUCGCGGUUUAGUUCGAAUCGUAAAGUCGGCAGCUGAAUCGUUUGGUGCGUUUGUACACACGUCUUUUUGUUUUCCUGUGAGGUCUUUAUUAAGUUCAUUACCUUCUCGUGCAGCCCGUGAACGACUGCAGGUGGAUUGUUUUGUGAACAUGUCACACUGUAAGCCAGACAUUGCAAAGAGGCUGUUAUUGAAGAAUGGGGCGGCAGCAACUAUAUUGGAUUCAACACAAACCUACAAACUUAUGCACUCUGAUGAUAUUGGAGGAUAUCUGGACUGCAGGAGUGGAGUGAUGGAUAGUACACACCUCAGUUGCCGGUGACAGAUUAAUGAUGCCCCCAUGGAGAUGUUUCUGAAGGACAGUAUCUGUGAGGGGACGUCUGAUCGCCUCUGCACCCUCACCAUGGGACCAGGUCCAACGGAUCUACAGGCCCGCAGGGUGGACCAGACAGACACAGCGUUCCCACUCUGUAUCCAGGCUAAUUUCAUAAAAGAUGGAGAAUAUUCCCACAGAAAGCACGAACACAGAACACUGAUCUAAGAACCCAUGCUGUUGCUCCACCACUGCAGGACCCUACUGAUCCAGAAGAGGAAGGAGAGAAAGAGAGAGAGAGAGGUGGAUUGAGCCUCAGCCUUGUCAGGAUGGAUUAAAGGAAAGUCUUUGAGGGUUUUUUCAGAAAUGCUGAAACUGAGCUUCCUGCUCUCCACAGUUCUUUCACUCCUGGCUCUCGCUUUUAUCCUUCAUUUUAUCUCAAGCCGUUCAUUAAUAGUCCCUGAAAUUAACGAGCACGUCAUACAUCCGUGAACACCUUCAAUAAACCAUCAGGGAGGCCUCAGAAUGACAGAUGACAUCCGUCCGUCUCUGUACGGGGAAGCAUGGCCUGACAGACUGAAAAAGAAGAUGUCACUCAUAUAAUGGACUGCUUUAGCCCCGCCCACUUCAGUGAGCAAUAAACAAGUAAACGUGCAAAGAAACACUCUGGGCCUCCGAAUUUCAAACCUGACCGUCUCGCUCACACAGACUCCCAAAACACAGCCAUGGGUAAUUAAACUCUCCAUUGUGAAGGCAGGGUUUGAUAACGUACUUCUCUUUAUUCAGCCAUAUUUAUGUCUCAUCUCUGCAUAGCGCAGGGCAUAUUGUACACUUGAAAAGAGUCGUGAAGAGCUUCAAUCACACACAGGACACACACACGCAUACAAACACAACCCACGCACGCAAUCACACUCAUCUCCUCAAGAGGACAUUAUUGGAAACUCCCUGCAGAAAACAUUACUUCAGGCCUGAGGAAUAAAUGAGGAUGGUUUGGCAGAAGACUGCUGGUAACCUGCAUGGCUUAUUUUAACCUGCCUCAUUACAACAACCUUUAGUCCCA